UACGGAGGGGGCUAGCGUUGUUCGGAAUACUGGGCGUAAAGCGUGCGUAGGCGGAAUGGAAAGUUAGAUGUGAAAUCCCAGGGCUCAACCCUGGAACUGCAUUUAAAACUCCCAUUCUAGAGUUCUGGAGAGGUAAGUGGAAUUCCUAGUGUAGAGGUGAAAUUCGUAGAUAUUAGGAGGAACACCAGAGGCGAAGGGCG
rnacentral:rRNA from 1 species